CCACGCCACACCAACGGAUACACUAAAACCUGUUGAAUCGGGAGAAGAAGCUAUCUCCACCAGAUCCUCCUCAGCCUCAAGGAGGGGGGAGAAAAGGACAGAGUGCUCCUAUCACAGUGGGCUGGAGGUUUUCCCUAUCUGGAGUGUGAACACUACCAGAGUGAGAAAGGGCAAAGCAGAGAUUUUUGUGGACUGGCAGCCCUGCC